rnacentral:rRNA from 1 species
GACGAACGCUGGCGGCGUGCUUAACACAUGCAAGUCGAACGGAAAGGCCCUGCUUUUGUGGGGUGCUCGAGUGGCGAAAGGGUGAGUAACACGUGAGUAACCUGCCCUUGACUUUGGGAUAACUUCAGGAAACUGGGGCUAAUACCGGAUAGGAGCUCCUGCUGCAUGGUGGGGGUUGGAAAGUUUCGGCGGUUGGGGAUGUACUCGCGGCUUAUCAGCUUGUUGGUGGGGUAGUGGCUUACCAAGGCUUUGACGGGUAGCCGGCCUGAGAGGGUGACCGGCCACAUUGGGCCUGGGGUACGGCCCAGACUGCUACGGGAGGCAGCAGUGGGGAAUAUUGCACAAUGGGCGGAAGCCUGAUGCAGCAACGCCGCGUGCGGGAUGACGGCCUUCGGGUUGUAAACCGCGUUCGCCUGUGACGAAGCGUGAGUGACGGUAAUGGGUAAAGAAGCACCGGCUAACUACGUG